rnacentral:lncRNA from 1 species
CUUGCGAUGGAGUGGUGUCCCGUCCUGGGUGUGUCCCCUCCCCCUCCAGCCCUGCGCCCUAUGGUGCUGGGUUAGGCUCCAGUCCACUGCAACCCCGCUUGGGACAAGAGGUUUCAGACUGUGUGUGAUGUGAUGAAUAAACGGCAAAGUAUGAUUCAUGUUACAUGUUGCAACGCCGGGAUGUUGACUAAUUACUGCUGGUAUUUGAGCAAAAAAUAAUACAUGCUCUACUUGCUGGUUAGGAGUGAAUGGAGUUGUUAUGCUAGCCUGAACGUCGCACAGCCCAACUUCUGGUGAAAAGUAAGUGUGCGACCCGGCCGACCGGGAGCCUGAGUGUAAAGCGCGGCGGAGAAGCGCUACACGUCACGUGGAAGGAGCACAAAGCGAGUUUCUCGAGAAAGUGACACCACGACGAGGGACAUUUCCUCGCGAGGGAGUGGAAAUUCCCCAACUGAUCCUCGCAUUGUUCCUGUUUCGAGCCGCGCGCCUCCACGUUUCUCCUCACAUUCUGCUGCUGCUUUGCGGAGGAGCAGUGUGUCCAGCUCUCUCUCUCUCUCUCUCACACACACACACACAUACAUACAUACAUACAUACACACGGAAGGAGCUCCGCGAGCGCGUGCAGGUAUAAAACGGCGCUUUUGCAGGUGGUUCCAAGCCUUCUUCACCCGCACUGUGUGUGAACGAGCCACAGACUGGAGGCGUUCUCCACCCCUUCCUCCUUCUCCGAAAGCAUGACUGGUCUGCUAAAGAUCUUCCUGCUGGGGACUUUUGUGUCCGUUGCGCUGACGCUCUUCGCCUUGGUGGACUCGGUGGGGGGUCUCAUGUACGAACAUGGACGGGAUGUGCGCGACUUCUGGACUCCGAGUGAAGCAGCUCCCCCAAGGGUCCGAGCGGAGGGCUGUCGAAGUAACAAAGGCAUCGGAUCGUGACCCUUUUAUAUUAACAGAGAUAACGAUUCUGGCAUGCAUGUAACACAGUUACAUUGUUGUGACACACGUGUUUAACACGUUCUUAGUGUCUUUAAUUAAUGUGUCACUGCAGUGACACGCAGUUAAAGUGUGAAACACGUCUGUAGUGUUCAAUAUUUUUCUCAGUGUUACACUGUUUUCUUCGAAAAUGUUUGAAAUGUUGGUAUCCAUGUAUUCCAUUAGUAGAACGGUGUCGAGAAUCAAUGGGACUGAAAAUUCAUGAACUGUCUUACUGUAUAACUGAAGUAUGUAGUGCAGCAAUAUAAUAACGGGUGUUUAUAAAGAAAGAUAGACUUCACGUUUCAAAAUAUCUGUCGUACUUUAAGGAAAUUUUCUGCAGGCUAAAACUAUCUUAAAAAGCUAGUAUUUUCUUUGCGUGCAGUUGUUCAUAAAUCUGUGGUAAACUGUGGGAUGAGGCACUAGCGCAGUUUUAUUAUAAUGACACGUGUCGAUCACGCGCCCCUUAACGACCCCGUUAUCCAGUAGCACCAUCGGGGAAAAACGCUACAAUAUUAAAACGUACAGAAUAUAAGAUGUAAUGUAUAUAAUAUGGUAAAACAGUGUCUUUGGGACUCAAAUGUUUUAUUUGUUUGGCAGCCACCCAUCUUCAGUAGGAAUGGUAUUUCAAGAACGAAGAAAAAGUAAUUCGAUAGUGAGUGAAAAUUUUGAAAAUGUAUUUCAAAAUUUUGAGAACAAUGUGUACAGUCUGUGCAGGCGAUAGGCUUGGUUGUUACUUUACAUUUCCUCAAGUUUCUGUGUAUGUAGAAUAAUCAAUGGCAAUUGCAUUGAUUGUGAAAAUAAAAAUCUCUAUAAUCUUGCUAGUGUCA